rnacentral:rRNA from 1 species
CCUCCCCGCCGGAAGACCAAGGGUUCCUGUCCAACGUUAAUCGGGGCAGGGUAAGUCGACCCCUAAGGCGAGGCUGAAAAGCGUAGUCGAUGGGAAACGGGUUAAUAUUCCCGUACUUCUUACAAUUGCGAUGGGGGGACGGAGAAGGCUAGGUGGGCCUGGCGACGGUUGUCCAGGUUCAAGUGCGUAGGCUGAGUGUUUAGGUAAAUCCGGACACUCUUAAGGCUGAGACACGACGUCGAGCUACUACGGUAGUGAAGUCAUUGAUGCCAUGCUUCCAGGAAAAGCCUCUAAGCUUCAGAUUGUAAGGAAUCGUACCCCAAACCGACACAGGUGGUCGGGUAGAGAAUACCAAGGCGCUUGAGAGAACUCGGGUGAAGGAACUAGGCAAAAUGGUACCGUAACUUCGGGAGAAGGUACGCUCUUGAUGGUGAAGUCCCUUGCGGAUGGAGCUGACGAGAGUCGCAGAUACCAGGUGGCUGCAACUGUUUAUUAAAAACACAGCACUGUGCAAAAUCGUAAGAUGACGUAUACGGUGUGACGCCUGCCCGGUGCCGGAAGGUUAAUUGAUGGGGUUAGCGCAAGCGAAGCUCUUGAUCGAAGCCCCGGUAAACGGCGGCCGUAACUAUAACGGUCCUAAGGUAGCGAAAUUCCUUGUCGGGUAAGUUCCGACCUGCACGAAUGGCGUAAUGAUGGCCACGCUGUCUCCACCCGAGACUCAGUGAAAUUGAAAUCGCUGUGAAGAUGCAGUGUACCCGCGGCUAGACGGAAAGACCCCGUGAACCUUUACUACAGCUUGGCACUGAACAUUGAACCUACAUGUGUAGGAUAGGUGGGAGGCUUUGAAGACGUGACGCCAGUUGCGUUGGAGCCGUCCUUGAAAUACCACCCUUGUAUGUUUGAUGUUCUAACGUUGGCCCCUAAUCGGGGUUGCGGACAGUGCCUGGUGGGUAGUUUGACUGGGGCGGUCUCCUCCCAAAGAGUAACGGAGGAGCACGAAGGUGGGCUAAUCACGGUUGGACAUCGUGAGGUUAGUGCAAUGGCAUAAGCCCGCUUAACUGCGAGAAUGACGGUUCGAGCAGGUGCGAAAGCAGGUCAUAGUGAUCCGGUGGUUCUGAAUGGAAGGGCCAUCGCUCAACGGAUAAAAGGUACUCCGGGGAUAACAGGCUGAUACCGCCCAAGAGUUCAUAUCGACGGCGGUGUUUGGCACCUCGAUGUCGGCUCAUCACAUCCUGGGGCUGAAGUCGGUCCCAAGGGUAUGGCUGUUCGCCAUUUAAAGUGGUACGCGAGCUGGGUUUAGAACGUCGUGAGACAGUUCGGUCCCUAUCUGCCGUGGGCGUUGGAAGAUUGAAGGGGGCUGCUCCUAGUACGAGAGGACCGGAGUGGACGAACCUCUGGUGUUCGGGUUGUGUCGCCAGACGCAUUGCCCGGUAGCUAAGUUCGGAAUCGAUAACCGCUGAAAGCAUCUAAGCGGGAAGCGAGCCCUGAGAUGAGUCUUCCCUGAUACUUUAAGUAUCCUAAAGGGUUGUUCGAGACUAGAACGUUGAUAGGCAGGGUGUGUAAGCGCUGUGAGGCGUUGAGCUAACCUGUACUAAUUGCCCGUGAGGCUUAACCAUACAACACCCAAAGGGUUUUG